UUCAUAAGAAGUCUUCUCCGAUGAUUUUGUUUUAUUAAGUUGAUGUUCUGUGUUUGUGUUGUCUUCCUCAUAAGAUAAAUUUUUUAACUUCCAUGAGAUUUAAAAUUCCAACUUUCACUUAAAAUUCAAUUUUGAUCUUUUGUGAAUUUGACUAAGGUUUUUUGAGAAGUCUUCUCUCUUAGUUUUAGCAAAUUUUACUAUGUUUUUGUGUUGUUGUGUUUUGUUAUGUGUGGGUAGAAUGAUUAAAAUAUUUUUUAGUAUGUUGCAUCAAUAACUUUAAUGAAGUCAAGUACUUUUGGCAAAACAUGAACAUAUUUACCAUUCUUUUGUUUAACAUCUCUUAAAGUUUAC
rnacentral:lncRNA from 1 species